AAAUAGUUUAUUGAUCCGACGGCCAUAACCACUCUGCUAAAAUCUCAACGGCAGACAAUAGAAAGCACAUAAAUUUUGACGUAGAGACCAUCGAAUCAUCUCUCUCCUUUUCUCUGUAAAAAGUUGUUUUGACUAUUUCUUUCUUUCCUUCUAUUUUCCUAUUUCGAUUUUUCUUUUAUUUUUUAUUUUUUAUUUUUUUUUUGUUCCCAAUGGGAUCAUCGUGAAACUCGAAGAUCGGAUCAACCGCUCUCUCGCUCUCAAACCCUAGACUGUAGAGCCAUCCCUUCCCCUCCCCUCCCCUCCUCCUCCCCAUCACUGUGAGUCUUGAGGUUUUCGGCCUCCAUUUUUUGAAGAGUUGCUUCAGGCUUCCGCACAAACGACGAAGUUCCGGUUAUUAGAGUCUAUGUUUUGUCGCAGGUUUCACAUGGCCUUGGGAUGCAACGAAAGGAAGAGAGAAAGAGAGAAGGGACCGAUACUACUGUAAUCCGAGGACGGAGUUUAGCAAUAUCUUAAACGUAAAUCCCCCUGAGAUUUUGAAAGACAAAAAUGUCGUCAUCGAACUCUCCCUGCGCAGCGUGCAAGUUUCUGAGGCGGAAGUGCACGCAAGAGUGCGUGUUCGCACCCUAUUUCCCACCGGACCAACCCCAAAAGUUCGCCAAUGUGCACAAGGUCUUCGGCGCCAGCAACGUCGCCAAGCUUCUCAACGAGCUCAACGCGGCGCAGCGCGAAGACGCCGUGAACUCGCUGGCGUACGAGGCCGAGGCUCGUCUUCGGGACCCAGUGUAUGGCUGCGUGGGCUUCAUCUCCAUUCUUCAGCACAGGUUGAAACAGGUCCAGACUGAUCUAUUUAAUGCCAAGAAGGAGCUUGCUUCCUAUAUUGGCCCUCAGGCUAUGCUCACUAUUCUUCAACCCCCGGCAUAUAUGACCCAACAGCAGCACCCUGGCAAUCCUUCGUCCUCGGCUGUUUUGCCCUACAACAUGUCGCCUAUGCUUGGGAUUCCCACUGGGGCUCCUACGCGUGGUGGGGCAUUGGUGAUUCGCGAGCCCCAGCCACAGCAUCACCAGCACCAGCUAUUUGAGGCACAGCAAUUGGCUGCAGCUGUGGCUGCCAGAGAGCAACAGGAGAUUUUACGGAGUUAUGAGCAGCAACAACAACUACAGCAGCACGCGCAGUCGCACCAGCACCAGCACCAGCCAGAACUCGUAAGGUUCAACAGUGGGUUCGACCCGGCUGCCGCAGCGGGAGGUUCGGUCACUGCUACUGGGUUCAAUCAGGUGAAUGCUGCUGCCGCUGCUAUGUCGCCUUCUUUGGCUCUGGGCACAUUUGAAAAUCCUUACGAGAUUCAACCACAGCAAGGGGAACAUCAUGGCCAUUCUCAUCACCAUCCGCUCCAGGCACAGCUCUUGCUCCAGCCACAACAAACACAUGCACACCAGCAGGGCCAGCAUACCCAGCCGCAGUCUAAGCCAGAAAGCGAGGAGGGUAGAAGUCUUGGUCCAUCUUGUUGAUAUUUUCUUUUCAGAAGCUCUUUAACCUUCCCGCUUUUUCAUUUAACUGAGUUUCAUUCUAGGUCGUAUCUGCCUACAAGUGAGAGAUCUAGAGAGAGGUUCCAAAGUCAAUAUUUUUUUGGUGGUUUCGAAGAAGACUUUCAGGAGAGAUACAUUUAUAAAUGCAAGAUCUGCAUUGAUCUUUGAGUACAGUCUUUUUUAUUUUUAUUUUUUGGUUAUAUAUUUAUUUUUUCCGGAUGAGCAGUGACGUUUAAUCUUUAUGUAAAUCGGAAUUUGGGAAGCUCCUCUUCAGUUUCUAGCAUUCGUUGCAAAUAAUAUUUAUAAUUCAUAGAACUUGAUGGUA